GCCCGGAUAGCUCAGCAGGGAGAGCGCUCGUCCCACACACGAGAGGCCGCAGGAUCGACACCUGCUCCGGGCACCG
rnacentral:tRNA from 1 species